AGAAAUGUAAGGCUGGCAACAAAUUAACAAGGGUUCAGUUAUUUUACAAGUGAGAACAAUGGUUCCUCUGACCACUUUUGAUUUAUUCCAUCUCUGGUUUCCAUGGAGCGUCAUAAAAGGAUCUAUGUGUGCGUCAAGAGAGUGGAGAAAGAGAAGUGGCCCGGAGCUAACAGGGGAAGAAGCAUCCGCCUGCUCAAUAGCAGCUCUGAGGCAGAGAUGGAAGAUUGUGGAUCUGCUGGGACGAGGUUAUCUCAGAAGCCAAACCAGAAAGAAUAUCCCAACCCAGGACUCCACUAUGCGAUAAUGGAGGGAACAGAGACCUUAAAGUCAGGCAGUUUGGCGUUCAUGUCCUCGCUUUGCCACUUCUUCCCUGUGUAGCCUCAGCUGCCCUUAAAUUUACAAGGAAACAUUCCUUCUAGGAGUCUCUGGAUAUUGGACUAAGAUUGUCACACGCCAUUAACACAGUUCAAUUCUGCAACCUCACUGAUUGGAAAACCUGAUUCAAUAUUGCAAGCUUGUUUUUGGCAACUGCACCAGCAUCUUCCAAAAAUAUAUUAGAGUUGCCACUGACAGAUGGUCUGAGAUGGGCCCAGGGAGGCUGUUGACAGAUAUCUUGAGAUGGAUCUUAUUCCAUUGACAUAUCUGAAGACUGUCCCGUGGGAAAUGUCUUCACGGGCCUGGAGGCUGACAGAACAAGACGGAAACCCUUCAAGAGAAUUGCCAAUAAAGAGACUGAAAAUGGGCACUACCUUCUGGAGAGCUCUGACUAAUGAGAACUGGAAGUCCUUAAGGAUGACCCUAAAAGGUCACAGAAUCCUCAGUCACCCUGGAAAAGGGACGCUGUGCUCUCAUGUAUGGGUUACGACUCUUCGGCUGCAGGGAACGCCCAACCAUUUGAAGAAACUGAUGCAAUCAGAUGGUGCCCCCAUUCCAGAUUCCCAGGGAAGAGAAGCUGAUUGGUCCAGCUGGUGUCCACUGUAUACACUUCAGCUCCAAUCAUCUAUGGCCAAGGAGGCAACAGCCCAUUGUACAGACCUGGAGGCUGAGGUUUACUCCUGCCCUCCUGAGGAUGGGGAUAAAGAAGGAGGUCUCAAAGGGUAGGAGAAGAGGAGUGUCACCGUGUAGAGGCACCAAAGAUGUCAUUCCACUUUACAUAGUAGAGAAAAAAGGGGAUUAAUGUUUCAGAAUAAUUUUCAAUAACCAAGGUCACAAUCUAAAAGGUUUUCUGCAUAUACCACAAUUAAGCCAAAAAUUCAACUUAGUUAAACAUAUUUUGCUCUGCAUUCCAAUUGUUGCAGACACAGAUGGUUGCCCACCUAACAGCCUGUUCCCCUUUCUGCUUAACUGGCAGGAUCCCACAUAUAUUUGGGUGUCUAUUCCUCCCUCAUAUCAGUCAUAGAAAGCUUGCCCUAUCCCUGUGUUUAGAAGUAAAUUAGUCUAAUGGUUGCAUUGUGAUCCCUUUUGGCUUAGACAUGGGCAUAUGACACAAUUGUGACCAAUAAAACAUGAUGAUGAAUCUUCUGAGAGGCCUUCUGCAAAGAUAUUUUUCUCACUGAUAAAAAGAAACUCACAGGAACACUUCCUAUCCAUCUAACACUUUAGUAUCUGGAUGUGAGGCCUGGAACUGUGGCAGCCAUCUUAUGACCAUAAGGGGACCUAGCAUGAAGACAAGAGAGCAGAAAUAUGGAAAGAACUUGGGCCUUUGAUGAACCAUUUGAGCAAAUGAGUUAACCCACCUGGGACUGUUUUACCUCUGGCAUUCUGUUUUAUUUUAUUUAUUUAUUUUAAAAAUGGAAGUAUAAUUAACAUAUAACAUUAUAUUAGUUUCAGGUGUGCAAAGUAAUGGUUUGUUGUUUGUUUAUAUUGUAAAAUGACAUCACAGUGAGUGUAGUUAAAAUCUGUCACCAUACAUAGUUUCAAAUUGUUUGCUUUUGAUGAGAGCUUUUAAGAUCUACUCUCUUACUGACUGUCAAAUAUGCAGUUCACUAUGAUUAACUGUAGUCACCAUGUUGUACAUUACACCCUAGAUUGUUGUUACUUGAUAAAAGAAGUAUUGUUUAAAUCAGUUAUUUUUAAUUUUUUGUUACUUGCAAUCCCAAACAUCCUAAUUGAUGCACUUCGUAAUUAAUAGAAAUCACAAAGCCACAAAUAAGACAUACUUUAAUAAAAGCUGACAAUAGCUGGAGAAUAAUUCCGAAAAUGCUUAGAAGAAGGUGUCCCUUAGGCAAUAUUGAAAUAGAUAGCCAAGAGAUCACGAAUCAUUUCUAACACUCCCAGAGCCUUACCAAGACACAGCAUUUUGCAGGCAGACCAUUAUUUUUUUAUAUUUUUAAAAAGCAACUCAAAGAAAUUAUUUGUUUAGAGUAGCUUUUUUAUGCUUCAAAGUCUUUGCUCCUGUAGAUGUGGAGUUGGACAAGUUUAAAGUGGUUUCAUUGUGCAUUCUGCUUGCUCGAGUUUGAUAGGCCGUGUUCACAUGACAGGUCUAUCCCUGCAGCGGAUGUCUGGGAUGCUUUGAUGUGGGUUGCAUUCGGACAGCCUAAUACUAGGGGAAAAUGUGCUGAAAUCGAACAAGAUUGCUUUCUGCCCAGCUGUUCUCUGAAGGCUCAGACAUUUUUAGCACUGAGCUAAGAAGCUUGUAUUUGUUUUGACGGUCUUGGCAGGGAGAACAAUGGUUGAUUAUCCCAGCACUUUACUAACAAAUAAGACUGCCUCCAGCAGAGAUAAAAUAUGGGUCUUGGCUUGAUUGCAUUUCAUGUCCCAGGAAAUUAUUUUCUUUUCAUUCUGAUGCCCUUUCAUUAUGCAAUGUACCUUUUGCUUUCUUUAUCCUUGCCCCACGUGGUAACCCAUGGCUUUCGCUCAGAGAAGGCUGAUUCCCAAAAUCACCAUGGCAGGGUGGUUUGAUUAGCAUAUAAAACAUGUAUUUUCACUUCUCUAAUUUCUUAGAAACUAAUUUUUUUGUUUGUUUUUGGUUCUCCAGAUUUGUAUGGUUAGUUUCUUCUCUAAUUUUCUGUCUGCUUGCUUUUGGCAUUUGUUUACGUUGCUGAGACUGUUUCAGCAUAGAGAAGUCUCGGAUUUUACAUCACACCUACAUUUAAAAGGUCUAUCCCAGGUGUUUUCUUCACCCAUACAGAGAAGUGCUUUACCCACAACAAUUGUGUUUUCUUCAAAACAAAGGGACUUUUAAAUAGUUUCAUGAAAACAUUACUAUUUUUCCUUUAUUAUUUUCUUUCCAAAAGGUUUUAAGAAUUAAAUAUUUUGUAAGUGUAACAUAUGCAGAUAAGGGUACGGCUCAAUGUAUUUUCAUGAAGUGAACACACAGACGUAACCAUUGUCCCCUCAGGCCCACCCAGUCAUCACCUCCCCACUCUAUCACUGCCUGCCUCUCUCCAAAGGUAACAACUGUGCUGAUGUCUGUCAUCACAGAGGAAUUUUCCCUCUCUUUGCUCAAUAUUAUGUUUGUAUGAUUCAAUUAUGUUAUCAUGUAUAGUGGUGAUUUCUCCAUUUUUACUGCUGCAUACUAUUCCAUUGUGUGAAUACGAUGCAAUUUAUGUUGAUGGACAUUUGGUUUGCAUCUCUUUGGAGCUAUUACAAAUAGUACUGUUAUCACAUUUUUGUGGCUGUCUUUGGAUGAAUAUAUACACAUAUAGUUUUAGUUCUGUAUACUGAGGGGCAGAAUUACUGGGGGACAAAGCACAAAUAUCUUUACCUUUGGUGGACUGUCCCAAUUUACACUCCCAUCAAAGGGAUGUGAAAAUCCAGUAUUAAUUCAAAUCCUUGCCUGCACUUGGAAUUAUUGGCCUUUUAAUUGUAGCAAUUCUAUUAAGUGUGUAGCGGCAUCUCAUUGUGGUUUUAUUUUGCAUAUUCAUGAUGACUAAUGAAAUUACCCAACUUUUAUCUUUAUUGGCCAAGUCAGAUAUUCUCUUCUAUGAAGUAACCUUGCACAAUUUUUGUCCUUUUUCUAAUGUUAUAUAUAUAUAUAUAUUUGUUAUUAAUUUGUAAGACUUCUUUAUUAUAGAAAUGAAUUCUUUGUUGGAUACGUAUAUUGUAAAUACAUUCUCCCAUUCUGUAGAUUGCCUUUUUACAGUCUCAUGGAAUCUUUUGAUAAGUAGAAAUGAUGAAUGUUUUUAAACUUUUUAAUUUGAAAUAAUGUUAAACUUACAAAAACUUUGGACUUGCAAAAAUAAUAGAGUUCCUGUGUACUCCUCAUCCAGCUUUCCCUAAGAGUAACACAUUCCACAUUACAUAAUGAUAGUGCAAUUACUGAAGCCAGAAAAUUAAUAUUGUCACAAUACUAUUAACUAAUCCAGAGACCUUAAUCUCAUUUUGCUAAUGGUCCACUACUAUCCUUUUUACAGUUCAGGAUCCAAUCCAGGAUUCCCACGUUGCCUUAAAUUGACAAGUCUCCUUGGUCUCUUCCAAGCUGUGGCAAUUCCUCAGUCUUUCUUUGUCUUUUAUCACCUUGACACUUUUGAAGAGUAAUUUUGUAGAAUGUCCCCCAAUUGGGUUUGUCUGAUGUUUUCUUAUGAUUAUCAACACUAUUUUAAGCAUUAGUAACUAUAAACAUGAUAUCUUUAAGAAGUUUUGGUUUAUUUUUUUUUCCACCCUAUUUAGCAUUCUGUUUUGAAUUUUGAUAAAUAUUUACAGUCAUGAAACCACUACCGCGAUCAACAUAUAAAACAGUGUCAUCAACCCCCUAAAAUUCCCUCAUGUGCCUUUGUAGUCAGCUUAUUCUCCCCAAUCCCAACCCCUGACAACUACCUAUUUGUUUUUAAUCCCUGUAGUUUUGUUUUUUCAGAAUGCCAUAUAAAUAGCAUCAUACAACAUGGAGCCUUUUGAGUCGGCCUUUCUUCACUUAGCAUAAUGUAUCUGAGAUACAUUCAUGUUGGUAUAUCAGUAAUUUGCUCCUUUUCAUUGCUGAGUAGUAUUCCAUUGUGUGGAUGUACCACAAUUUGUUUAUCUAUUCACCAGUUGGUGGACAUUUGAGUUGUUUCCAGUUCUAGCUAUUACUAAUAAAGCCACCAUAAAAAUUUGUGUCUAAGUCUUUGUGUGAGCACAAGCUUUAAUUUCUCUCAGAUGAAUACUAGGCAUGGAACUACUGGGUCAUAUGGUAAGAGUAUGUUUAACUGUAUGAAUAAGUAAUUGCCAACCAGGUUUUCAAAGUGGCUGUGCCAGUCUGCAUCACCACCAGUGACACAUGAGAAUUCUGGUUUCUCCACAUCCU